ensembl:lncRNA
CUGAGUUGGAAGGGACUUUCAAGAUCAUUUAGUCCUGAAACCCCUUCCAUUUCCAGGGACACAUUCCAAUAGACCAGGUUGCUCAAAGUCCUGUCCAUCUCAGCACUAUUUAGAACCAAACUUUUCUUCUGAGUGGGUAGGUGCCUCCUUCAACUACAGCAGUAUCCUGUCAUAGACACCUGUGGAAGUUUUGGGGCUCUCCAAACCAUAGCAAGCACCUCACCAGGGGUGCCCAGGCUGUUCUAAAUCGGUAAAUAGACACCUCUACUUCUGCUGGAGACACAACCAUGGCUCUGAGUUAACUGAGAAAAGGCACAAUGCACACAGUAGGAAAAUAUUCAGCUUAGUGGUUUUGGCUUAAGCAGAGAGCAUUUCUCUCAUGCCAAUAGCCUUUCAGAGCUGACUUCAGCAGGCACCUCCUGGUUGUACCUCAACAUGAGCUUCAGCUCAGGGAAAAACUCUCUAGGGGAAUAAAGAAGGCAUUCAGCCCCACCAGCAGCUGGUAAAGUUCACAUCAUGAACUGCCUCAACCCGCCUGCUCUGGCCUCCCUGGGUUGUAAAUUGGCAAGAGCUGAGACAGUGGUGACGAACGAUGACCACAAUGAACAGGCACUUCUUACUUUCUUAUGUUGCCCAGCUGGAGCUCCAGCCCACAGGCUGAAAAUACCCAUGUGCAAAUCUUGGAAUGGUACUGUACAGCAGAUGAAGGCUUGACAAAGUACCUACUCACCAGCCACAUACCCAUGAGGAAGGGACUUUUAAUAAGUUUCUCAGAAAGAAAUAUACUCCUGCAGAUUCAUUAAACAAAUAUUACUCUCUCCUUUUGAUUUCUUUUUACUCCCUUUGAAAUAUGUGGGAAUUUGCCAAAAGCAGGGAAACUUUAGGUGGGACCAUGCUUUCCUUCCCUGAAUGCCCUCAGGAAAAAUUACUCAGGG